UGGGCUCAGUCACGCCCCCUGGGCGCAGUCCGCCGACUGCAGGAAGCCUGGAGCCUGAUCCAGGUUACCACAAGCCACUGAAUAUAGUACCCUGUGCUACGCCCUAAGACCUUGCUGUUUAUACAGAGGUAUUUUCUUAAUCAAGAGGAGGCCCAGAUAUCUGGCAGACAAUUGGCUAAUACGUGUUUCUCAACUUGGAACUUGACCUUUUCUAAGGAAUUGGUUGGCUGAAACAGUUUAGAGGUGAACCCCGAAGCCGUGUGUGGAGCUGGCAGCAUCAAAAGAUAAUGAAGCAUCAAGAAACAAAUGCUGGAGAGGGUGUGGAGAAAAGGGAGCCCUCAGCUGGUGGGAAUGUAGAUUGGUGCAGCCGCUAUGGAAAACAGUACGGAGUACUUUUCUGAGUCACAGAGGGACACUGCGCAGUGAAGAUGGACCUCAUCGUAAUCCCCGAUGAACUUAAAGACGGUGACGUGAAAGCGACAGGUCACAAAACCCUCACGUGAGUAAUACCCUCCCGAUGCCCGGAGGAAAGAAGCAUCCUUGUCUCCAAAGACAAAGGGGGGCUGAAGAAGAAUCUGAACAGUCUGGCUAAGUUCCCCCCAGUUUACUCCAAUCACCCCAUAAUCUUUGACCUGUCAUCUCUCUCCACGACUGUCUCUUCAUCAAACCGAACGUAUCACUACUCAGCUUUAACUGUUCCUUCAGGUCUCCAUUUCCUUAGGAAGGCUUCCUUAUAUUAACUUACAGUAAAUAAAUUUGUAUGCUUUUCUCCUGUUAAUCUGUCUUGGUCCAUUCAGACUCAGUCAGGAACCCCAAAAGGACUGAGAAAAACUUUGUCCUCCCCAACACCUGGCAAUUUAAUGCUGCAUCUCCUCCAAACAAAGAAGAGGAAAUCGUUUCAAGAAAGGCUAAUCAUAUUCCUUCACAGGGGUUCCCUGAAUUGGGGUUAGAAGAAUAUCACUCCUGGUGGUUGCAAUGCUGUCAAUGCAAGUCCAGGACUGCCAGUGUCUAACGAGGCCAGUGAGAGACAGAGACACAGACAAGGAAUAGAGGGAGUUUUGACAGCAGGUGGCUCCCUGGACCCAAUCGUCUCUGAAGCCACAUCUACUCCUGUGAUUUGGUUUUGUAACCAUUAACUGCCUUGUUUUUGCACAAACUAGUUUGAAAUGGUCUCUACCACUUGUAAUAGAAAGGAUUUUGAUUAAUACAGUCAUCUCCUUUAAGAAACCUUGUACUGGGGUGAUGGAAUGUUCCAAAAUAGAUUAUGAUGAUGGCUGCACUCCUCUGCAAAUUUAAUAAAAAUCAUUGAA